rnacentral:rRNA from 1 species
UACGAAGGGGGCUAGCGUUGUUCGGAAUCACUGGGCGUAAAGGGCGCGUAGGCGGCGCGACAAGUCAGGCGUGAAAGCCCCGGGCUCAACCCGGGAAUUGCGCUUGAUACUGUCGUGCUUGGAGGCCGGAGAGGAUGGCGGAAUUCCCAGUGUAGAGGUGAAAUUCGUAGAUAUUGGGAAGAACACCGGUGGCGAAGGCGGCCAUCUGGACCGGUUCUGACGCUGAGGCGCGAAAGCGUGGGGAGCAAACAGG